GCUACUGUAAGUUUCAAAUUAAUUGGAUAAAAUUUAUAGUAAAGUAAAAGCAAAGUAAAGUAAUCUUUAUUUAAAGUCGGGUUGCAUAUAUAUAAAUAAUAACAAUGAACAUGAGCUCUUAAGAGCUCUUUAACCGACUGAUAUUAAUAAACAAAACAUACAUGUAAUAACAUCAGAUACACAUACAACACAAACAUACAGACA
rnacentral:lncRNA from 1 species